rnacentral:rRNA from 1 species
UACGGGGGGAGCAAGCGUUGUUCGGAUUUAUUGGGCGUAAAGAGCUCGUAGGCGGCUCAUUGCGUCAACCGUGAAAACCAGCAGCUCAACUGUUGGCUUGCGGUUGAUACGGGUGGGCUGGAGUUCGGUAGGGGAGACUGGAAUUCCUGGUGUAGCGGUGAAAUGCGCAGAUAUCAGGAGGAACACCGGUGGCGAAGGCGGGUCUCUGGGCCGAUACUGACGCUGAGGAGCGAAAGCGUGGGGAGCGAACAGG